rnacentral:lncRNA from 1 species
UGCGUUUAUUUGGAACACAUGAAAAAAAAAUCCAGCCACUCCAAAUCGUUUCUUAACAGAAAAGUUGAAACUAGAUUAAACAAUCCUAUAAACUCAUUCUAACAGCUGUAGGGGAUCUACGUUAAUUGGGGAUAGUUCUUCUCGAAUAAUUUCUAAUCUACUACAAAUCCAAAUCAGCAAAAACUAUAGUUUAAAUAAAGCAGAUAUGAACAACUUAGGCAACAACAGGCUCAAAUCUCCAUUUUCAUUCCAAUUGCAAAGUGUGUACAAAAGGGGUGUACCUGAAUUUGUAAACCACAGCAAGAGAAAACACCAGUCAGCAAGGACAAACGAUUAGCACAGAAACAAAUAAUAUUAUCCAGCAGAUUCCAACAACCAGAAGAAUUUCAAUUGCCAUAAAUGUUUUAAAACAAACAAUAACACCACAGAGUGCUCCCAAACAGCCUCGAAUUGGCCAGAUCUCGCCAAAUUUCUACUUAAGCUGAUUCAAUUAUCCCCGGAAUGGACUUCAACACUCUUAUCAAGAGAAGUAGUGACUAAAACUGUGAAUUAACUUUAAAGAAGCUCUUAUUCUCAAUGGAACAGUAACGUUUGGUCUAUUUUUUAAAAAGUUUUUGAUUUGUAUUUCUUCUUCUUCUUUUUUUCUUAAUAUGAGGUGGCCUUCUUCGAAUCAGGAGAAUGGAAAAGUGAUUUUGGGCUUAAU